CAAAGCUGAUGCAGGUUAUUGAAUGUUGCCUCAUGUUUAAAAAUGGGUUCACUGGCUUUGUGUCCAGCAGGGACUUCUCUGUUCAUCUCCUCUGACCUCCUGUGUAUAACACAAGCAUGGGAUAAGUGCUGUUAUAUGAGGGUUAAUGUACACAGUGCCUUCAUUUAUUAGCUUUCUACCCUAUUUAUUAGUUCACUUGUGAAGGCAGGUGAUCGAGAGUCAGCAUUCCUUGUCCCAUUCUUGGCCAAAAUGGGCUGUAAAAUGGUUACAAUAAUAUUUCUCUAUCUGUGAUGCUUAACUGAUUCCUGCACUGAAAAGGCAACAAGCUUGUGGCGACUUAACAGUCACUGAAAAGGAUAAUCCUGUUACAGCAAAAAUAAUAAUCUAAAUACCAUUACCAGUCCCCUCCCCAAAUCCAGGCUUAAACAAAGAUUAAAAAAAAUACUUGAAAUUCUGAAAUCUUGGCUGCAUUAAACCUUUAAAACGCUGGAUUAGGCAUUUUCCAUUUCCAAGCUUGGCUCUGACACCACAUCCUUGUGUUCCCUUGGUGUGAUUCAUCUGCAGAUACCAGAACUGCAUAAUUCAUCACAGAUCUUUAUUCCAGAUAUAAUUACACUAAAUCCUGUGGCCUGAGCAGUGUGAAGCCUUCUCUAAGUCUCCUUGUCACCGAGCUCAACAGCCUGGGUUCUUGGGAUGGAAUUCACUCUGAGUGGAUUGGCUCUUCGCUUUCUAAUGCUGGAGGCAUCUCUGGGUUUGUCUUGGAGUUUCUUCAAAGCUCCAGGCACACCAUUGCUCAGGAGUGCCUGUUCUGGCACUGGGCACCAUGCCAGCAGUGGGAAUUCUGGAGAAGACCAGCACAAUUAAAGAUGAGCUCAGUGCCCCCCUUUGGCACAGCAGUUUUAAGAGAUAACUCAGAGAUGUCUUGUUGCUGCUCAUCAUCAAUUAAGAUGAAGUCAACUCCCCACUGCAGAAGACCACCAUUAAUCAACAUUUUAAGUGAAUGAGGGAAGGAAGCAUUUCAAAGAAAAAAUAUUUUAAGAGGGGCCUAACUUCACUUCCCAUGUGAAGUCAGCUUGGUGUCAACUGGGGGAGCACACAGGAG
ensembl:lncRNA